UAGAGGAUAAAUACUGGAAGGUUUUAUUCUUCAAAGCUUCGGCACCUGAGGAUGGGACUGCGUCGGAUUAGCUUGUUGUCGGGAUAAUUACCCGACAAGGCGAUAAUCCGUACGGGUUGUGAGAGCAAUAGCCCGGAGAUGGAUUCUGAGACAUGAAUCCAGGUCCUACGGGACGCAGCAGGCGCGAAACCUUCACAAUGCCUGAAAGGGUGAUGAGGGAACUCUGAGUGACUUCGCAAUGCGAAGUCUUUUGCCAAGUGCAAAAAGCUCGGUGAAUAAGUGGUGGGCAAGACAGUUGCCAGCCGCCGCGGUAAUAACUGCGCCACGAGUGGUGAUCUCGUUUAUUGGGCUUAAAGCGUUCGUAGCCGGUUUUAUAAGCAUCUGGUGAAAUCCGAUAGUAAACUAUUGGGCUGGCUAGGUGUACUGUAAGACUAGGGACCGGUAGGGGCCGGGAGUACUCCUAGGGUAGGGGUUAAAUCCUUUAAUCCUAGGGGGACUACCAGUGGCGAAGGCGCCCGGCUAGAACGGGUCCGACGGUGAGGGACGAAAGCUGGGGGAGCGAUCCGGAUUAGAUACCCGGGUAGUCCCAGCUGUAAACGAUGCCCGCUUGGUGUGGUGAAACUUUCGUGGUUUUGCCGUACCG
rnacentral:rRNA from 1 species